GGGUCAGUAGGUUGGUCGUGCCACCGGUACGUACUGGUCUCACUGAUUCCUCCUCCCUGAAGAACCGUAAUGCCAUUAAUUUGGUGUUGCGGGGAAACAGGACUGUUACUUUGACAAAAUUAGAGUGUUUAAAGCAAGCUAACGCUUGAAUACAUUAGCAUGGAAUAAUGAAAUAGGACGAUCGAUCCUAUUUUGUUGGUUUCUAGGAUUGACGUA
rnacentral:rRNA from 1 species